GAUGAACGCUGGCGGCGUGCCUAAUACAUGCAAGUCGAGCGAACGGACGAGAAGCUUGCUUCUCCGAUGUUAGCGGCGGACGGGUGAGUAACACGUGGAUAACCUACCUAUAAGACUGGGAUAACUUCGGGAAACCGUAGCUAAUACCGGAUAAUAUUUUGAACCGCAUGGUUCAAAAGUGAAGGACGGUCUUGCUGUCACUUAUAGAUGGAUCCGCGCUGCAUUAGCUAGUUGGUAAGGUAACGGCUUACCAAGGCAACGAUGCAUAGCCGACCUGAGAGGGUGAUCGGCCACACUGGAACUGAGACACGGUCCAGACUCCUACGGGAGGCAGCAGUAGGGAAUCUUCCGCAAUGGGCGAAAGCCUGACGGAGCAACGCCGCGUGAGUGAUGAAGGUCUUCGGAUCGUAAAACUCUGUUAUUAGGGAAGAACAUAUGUGUAAGUAACUGUGCACAUCUUGACGGUACCUAAUCAGAAAGCCACGGCUAACUACGUG
rnacentral:rRNA from 1 species